GAGGAUGCUAUGUCCAUCGCCGAC
rnacentral:siRNA from 1 species